CAGCAGGCGCGAAAACUUUGCAAUACACGAAAGUGUGACAGGGCUAUCCCGAGUGCCAUCCGCUGAGGAAGGCUUUUACCCAGUCUAGAACGCUGGGGGAAUAAGGAGAGGGCAAGUCUGGUGUCAGCCGCCGCGGUAAUACCAGCUCUCCGAGUGGUGUGGAUGUUUAUUGGGCCUAAAGCAUCCGUAGCUGGCUAAGUUAGUCCCUUGUUAAAUCCACCGAAUUAAUCGUUGGAUUGCGGGGGAUGCUGCUUGGCUAGGGGACGAGAGAGGCAGACGGUAUUUCCGGGGUAGGGGUGAAAUCCUAUAAUCCCGGGAAGACCACCAGUGGCGAAGGCUGUCUGCUAGAACGCGCCCGACGGUGAGGGAUGAAAGCUGGGGGAGCGAACCGGAUUAGAUACCCGGGUAGUCCCAGCUGUAAACGAUGCAGGCUAGGUGUUUGGACGGCCACGUGCCGUUCUAGUGCCGCAGGGAAGCUGUUAAGCCUGCCGCCUGGGGAGUACGAUCGCAAGAUUGAAACUUAAAGGAAUUGGCGG
rnacentral:rRNA from 1 species